rnacentral:rRNA from 1 species
GAUGAACGCUGGCGGCGUGCCUUAUACAUGCAAGUCGAGCGAACAGACGAGGAGCUUGCUCCUCUGACGUUAGCGGCGGACGGGUGAGUAACACGUGGAUAACCUACCUAUAAGACUGGGAUAACUUCGGGAAACCGGAGCUAAUACCGGAUAAUAUAUUGAACCGCAUGGUUCAAUAGUGAAAGACGGUUUUGCUGUCACUUAUAGAUGGAUCCGCGCCGCAUUAGCUAGUUGGUAAGGUAACGGCUUACCAAGGCAACGAUGCGUAGCCGACCUGAGAGGGUGAUCGGCCACACUGGAACUGAGACACGGUACAGACUCCUACGGGAGGCAGCAGUAGGGAAUCUUCCGCAAUGGGCGAAAGCUUGACGGAGCAACGCCGCGUGAGUGAUGAAGGUCUUCGGAUCGUAAAACUCUGUUAUUAGGGAAGAACAAAUGUGUAAGUAACUAUGCACGUCUUGACGGUACCUAAUCAGAAAGCCACGGCUAACUACGUG